AGUGAACGCUGGCGGUAGGCCUAACACAUGCAAGUCGAACGGCAGCACAGUAAGAGCUUGCUCUUACGGGUGGCGAGUGGCGGACGGGUGAGGAAUACAUCGGAACCUACUUUUUCGUGGGGGAUAACGUAGGGAAACUUACGCUAAUACCGCAUACGACCUACGGGUGAAAGCAGGGGAUCUUCGGACCUUGCGCGUUUGAAUGAGCCGAUGUCGGAUUAGCUAGUUGGCGGGGUAAAGGCCCACCAAGGCGACGAUCCGUAGCUGGUCUGAGAGGAUGAUCAGCCACACUGGAACUGAGACACGGUCCAGACUCCUACGGGAGGCAGCAGUGGGGAAUAUUGGACAAUGGGCGCAAGCCUGAUCCAGCCAUACCGCGUGGGUGAAGAAGGCCUUCGGGUUGUAAAGCCCUUUUGUUGGGAAAGAAAAGCAGCAGGUUAAUACCCCGCUGUUCUGACGGUACCCAAAGAAUAAGCACCGGCUAACUUCGUG
rnacentral:rRNA from 1 species